rnacentral:lncRNA from 1 species
ACGUCUCACGCCCAUGUGAACAGCCAUUUGGACGAAUAUAGGCCAUUUGCAAGGCCAAUUCUCCAACCAUAAGGGUCAACCCUACACAAGCAUAUUCCAAUUAUAAGGCCAUCUACAUAUCAAACCUUACAUUAUAAACAAGCCAAAUCUCAUGGCUCAAUACAUUUCAAACAUGUAGGCACCAAUAGCCAAAAUCACUUAUACACUUAACAAACCAACUAGCCUAUACAUGCCAUAUAACCAAAAUUACAAACCUUUUAAGUACUGAAACCAUAGCUGGAUAGUGUGACGGGAUCUCCGACGAUUUCCAACCCGAGCGAGCCUUUGGAACACUAUAAACAUAGAAAAAUAACACAAAGUAAGCUAUAAAGCUUAGUAAGUUGAUAUGUAAAUAAUAAGCAAUCUGUUAACCUACUUUU